rnacentral:lncRNA from 1 species
GCUGGCAGAGGUUAAGGCCUGACUUCUGCUCCCAGUUGAUCCAGUCGACCCGGGUUCAAAUCCGCCUGCCGGCUCCUCGGGUGUUUGAGGAGUGAUGAAAUGGGAGGUGGCCCCCCAUCUUAUGGACGGUGUAGGACGUGAUAAUAUCAACUUGCGAGCUGACCAGGAACUAAGUUGAUGCGCCGUUGAUCCGCUAGAUUUGGUUGGAUGCUGGUGGUGAGUUGCCGAACCCAACGAAUACAUUCUGAAGUCGGAUGGGGUGACGGAUUAGGGUGCCCCUCUAGCAGGGGAGAGCAGGGACUGCCCCGGGAAAGGGGGCCGCUGGCGAAGUUAACCACCCUGUAACAACAUACAUACACGUGGUCCUUUUCCGUUAUCUGGGCAUAAGGCAACACAGCCUCUCGCGCUCAUUCACAUGGAUGUAAUGUAAUGUAAUGUAAUGUUACAGAGUGGGAGGCUUCUGGGCCGCUUUAUCACAUUGUCAGUUCUACGAUUUAUCAUCUUAUAGCACCGUCCACCACUACCACACUAUACUUCGCCAUACGAACUGUAAGUCCAAGGCGGCGGGUCCAGCCGUCUAGGACCCCUCCUCAUCCAUUCACCCGAACAACCGAAGAGACGGAGGGUUCGGCAAUCGCCACCAAUCUAGCGUGCGAAUCUGGUCCAUCAACUGCGACCUCAACUCCACAUCUCAGCAGCUAGCCAUAAUCUCGCGCUCCCGACUAAUUCGGGGGUAUCCCCAGGAAUCGAACCCAGGACCUUAAACCGCGAAUCGCAGUAGUGUCAACCCAGACCAGACCAGACAUGGAUGUGUGUGGGCCUAUGCCUGAACCUUCGCCUAGUGGUUCGCGUUACGUGACAACCCUGCUUGACGACCAUACUGGUCUUUCAGCUGUUGCGUUUACAGCGACCAAGGAGGAGGUCUACCAGAAAAUGGUGGUAAUGAUAGCGGAACUGGAGCGCGCUACUGGCAGGCAGGUUAAGGAGGUGCGUACAGAUCGUGGCGGGGAGUUCGUUAAUACUCGCACGAAGGCCUAUUUCGCUUCCAGGGGUAUUCUACACGGAACUACUGUAGGCUACACCCCUGAGCAGAACGGAGCUGCAGAACGUUUAAAUCGCACUCUUUUGGACAAGACUAGGGCUAUGCUAGUUGAGUCUGGACUGCCUAAAUCAUUAUGGGCGGAGGCGUUAGCGACAGCCAACUAUCUUAGGAAUGUGUCGCCAACUGCUGGGUCAACCGUCACUCCGUACGAAGCUUUCUUUAAUGUUCGUCCGAACGUCAGUCACCUGCGAGUCUUUGGAUGCGUUGCCUACGUCCACGUACCCGACGUCAAGCGCAACAAGUUCGACCCGGUGAGCAGGCGUGGAAUACUUGUCGGAUACGGGAACGGUGGACAGUAUCGUGUACUAUACGAGGACGGCAUUAUUGCCGUAGUUUCCAACGUUCGUUUUGAUGAAUCUAACGUCGGCUGGCGGCGUAAUGCCGGGGACUCCGAUUAUGAGUCCGAUGCCGACGAGGAGGAGGAUUUUCGCACUAGUUUGCCUGGUGAGGGAUCGCUGCCUAGGGCUGGCGAAGGGAUACCAGGUAGCACCGUCGGCGAGGGAUCGCCGCACUUGGGUGGCGAGGGGGCGCCGGCUGGGGCUGGACCUUCCAGCAGUGCGAAUGGGCAAGGAAUCAAUCAGCCUGAUGUGGAAAUGGCGGGAACUAGGUAUCCAGUUAGAGAGCGUAAACGUCCUGGCGAAUGGUGGCGAAACGAACCCGGUCGCACUGUCACUGGUCGCGUUAACGCUGCUUUCUCUGCUGGUAUUCCUGAGCCUAAUUCGUUUGAGGAAGCAAUUGCAAGUCCACAUGCAGACGACUGGCGGCGUGCGAUGGACGAGGAGAUCGCCGCCCAGAUGGCUAAUAGUCUGGUCUGGGUUGACACUACUGCAAUUAGCGGUUUAAGGUCCUGGGUUCGAUUCCUGGGGAGACCCCCGAAUUAGUCGGGAGCGCGAGAUUAUGGCUAGCUGCUGAGAUGUGGAGUUGAGGUCACAGUUGAUGGACCAGAUUCGCACGCUGGAUUGGUGGCGAUUGCCGAACCCUCCGUCUCUUCGGGUGUUCGGGUGAAUGGAUGAGGAGGGGUCCCUGAAGGCUGGAUCCGCCGCCUUGGACUUACAGUUCGUAUGGCGAAGUACAGUGUGGUAGUGGUGGAUGGUGCUAUAAGGUGAUAAAUGAUCUAGAACUGACAAUGUGAUAAAGCGGCCCAGAAGCCUCCCACUCUGUAACAUUACAUUACAUUACAUUACAUUACAUAAUAGUACUUGGGAGCUGAAGACGCCACCUCCUCGUUUGUUGCCGUGUCGUUGGGUAUAUAAGGUUAAGUACAGCGAUGACGGCAGCGUGGAGCGUUUUAAGGCGCGUUUAGUUGCCAAGGGUUUCGAGCAACGUGAGGGGAUUGAUUAUGGGGAGUUGAUGUUGUUACAGGGUGGUUAAGCUUCACCAGUGGCCUCCUUCCCGAGGCAGUUCCCUGCUCUCCCCUGCUAGAGGGGCACCCUAAGCCAUUCACCCCAUCCGACUUCAGAGUGUACUCUUUGAGUUUGGCAGCUCACCACCAGCAUCCAACCAAAUCUAGCGGAUCAACGGCGCGUCAACUUAGUUCCUGGUCAGCUCGCGAGUUGAUUUUAUCACGUCCUACACCGUCCACAAGAUGGGGGGCCACCUCCCAUUUCAUCACCUCUCAAACACCCCGAGAGGUCGGCAGGCGGAUUUGAACCCGGACGCGCUGGGACGCGACGGGAGCAGAAGCCAGGCCUUAACCUCUGCCAGCCGCCUGCCUGCCUGCCGGAGUUGUUUGCCCCUACCUCUCGUGGUUCGUCAUUGCGUGCUUUAUUAGCAGUUGCCGCAGCCCGGAACAUGACGGUACGUCAACUCGAUGUGUCUACUGCGUUUCUGAAUGGUGAGCUGAAGGAGGAGUUGUGGAUGGAGCAACCGCCUGGGUAUGCAUCCAGUGACCGGUCGCUUGCGUGCAAGCUGCAGAAGUCUAUUUACGGUUUAAAGCAGGCACCCCGUUGCUGGUAUGAAAAACUAUCAGCAGAGUUCGCCAAGUUGGGUCUUUAUCCUUCGAAGUCUGAUCCGGCGAUGUUCGUUAAGACUGACGAGCGUGGGGUUGUUAUUGCUUUGGUGCACGUAGAUGACACUAUUGUUGCGUCGGANNNNNNNNNNNNNNNNNNNNNNNNNNNNNNNNNNNNNNNNNNNNNNNNNNNNNNNNNNNNNNNNNNNNNNNNNNNNNNNNNNNNNNNNNNNNNNNNNNNNNNNNNNNNNNNNNNNNNNNNNNNNNNNNNNNNNNNNNNNNNNNNNNNNNNNNNNNNNNNNAACAUAGGUAUAUUGCGCAGCUAUUGGAGCGUCAUAAGUUGGUUGACGCCAAGCCGAGGUCUACUCCUUUGCCUCCGGGUUUUAGGUACACUCCUACGGGGGACGGAGAGGAGCUGCUGGGCAAUCCCACGGAGUAUAGGGCUUUGGUGGGAGAAUUGAACUAUCUUGCGACGAACACGCGGCCUGACAUUUCUUAUGCAUUGAGUGUUUUGUCCCGGCAUAUGGCCACACCUUCGAAGACUGCCAUGAACUUGGCCACUGGCGUUCUGCGUUACCUGGCGGGUACUCGCGAACUAGGAUUGCGUUUUGGGGGUGUUGGCGACGUUGCUAUGUCCGGGUAUAGCGAUUCUGACUGGGCAGGAGACCCAGUUACGCGGCGUUCUACGUCCGGUUACGUAUUCACUCUUAAUGGGGCUGCGAUUAGCUGGAGCAGCCAACUUCAACGUACUGUGGCGGCUUCGUCGGUGGAGGCUGAGUACCAAGCUACAGCGGCGGCUGUUCGUGAGGCUUUGUGGCUUCGCAAGCUGAUGGUUGAUUUGAGCUUGCCUGAGAGCGCGGUGAAAAUCCAGAUAGACUCCCAGGGGGCGCUUAGCUUGGGAAACAACCCAAUUACGCCUGCUCGGUCGAAGCACAUCGACGUGCAGCAUCACAUAGUGUGUGAGAGGGUGAAUAGCGGUGAGGUGCAGUUGGAAUACUGCCCUACGGAGUGGAUGGUUGCGGAUGUACUAAUGAAGGCUCUGGGCGAGGUGAAGUUCAAACGUUGCCGAGAUGCUAUGGGCCUAGUGUGAAGUGUGCAGAUGAUCUUGGUACUCGUUGGGAUACGGCCCGAGGGGGCGUGUUGAGGAAACGGUCCUCUCCCAACUCGUGUGGUUGUCGACCAGGGGAUUUGACCCCGGGUCUGCGCCUGACUAAUGGGGAAGACUUACCCCAGAACCUUAUGGGGCUAUCGAUGCAUAUCCGGUAGCUAAGUGAUAGACAUUAGGGCACCGUCUGGACGGCGCAGUGAGAUCGCGGAAUGUACGUGCAGUUAGAUCGCGGAAUGUACGAGUUUUCCGCUAGCGCCGGUAUUUAGGGCGGUGACUGCGCCUAUUAGUUUAUCUCAUAACGAUCGGUAUUCCUACCAGGAAUCUCCUCAAGUCCUGCCGAACGCUAACAAUACUCUUUACAUUACUUGUAACAGUUUAUCGUGCUAAAUAUCUUCGCCACCGGCAAUCCUUCCGAAAUAACAAUCAGCGUUAGCCGUCACCGUCGCCAAUUCUUCAAUAAAACGCUCCAUGCUGCCGUCAUCACUGUACUUAACCUUAUACACCCAACGACACGGCAACAAACGAGUACCAGGAGGUGGCUUCUUCAGCUCCCAAGUACUAUUAGCCAUCUGGGCGGCAAGGAGACUGGUCGUGAUAUAAGGGUUACAGUCUGUGGGUUAGUGGUGAACGGCUAGAGGACUUUAGGAGAUUCUUAUGAAGGAAUACCGAUCCAUCCGAAGAUGAGAUAGAAAGACAUGCACCACUCUGGUCUUAUGUACCGAUACCAACGGAAGUAUCGUACAGUCGCCCACCAUCAACGCUGGACAAGAGGGGACGUCCGAGAUACGCGGCCGGGAGACCCUAGGCAAGGUCGAGGCACGUCCGAGGCAAGGUCGAGGCACGUCCGAGGCAUCGCCUAUCACGGCGGAUUCAUCACCUAUCUACCACCUAUCUACACUUGUGUCAUAUAUUCCAGUACCAAUCGAAGUAUCGUACAGUCGUCCACCAUCCCUGGACGAGAGGACACAUCAGAGAUACACGGCCGAGAGACCCGAGACAAGGUCGAGGCAUGACCGAGGCAAAGUCAAGGCCAAGGUCGAGGCACGGUCGAGGCAAGGUCAAGGCACGGCCGAGGCAUCGCCUAUCAUGGCGGAUUCAUCGCCUAUAUACCACCUACCUACGUUGGGAUAGGACCGCCCUUCAACAGUUGAUCCGCCUUGUUAAACCACACCUCCUAGCACGGGUAGCAAGGAUAGGCCUAAGAUGCGGGGUGCACUUGAGAGCCUGUGCCGCGGUCUGGAAGGUGAUAGUGGUGAACCAGCUCGUGCUGAGACGGGGAUUUUGUGUCUUCUGCCAUCGAGGGUUUGCUGCAGUCAGAGACCAUCAAACCUUGCCCGUCAUGACCUGUGCCUUGGGCGUCGUAGAGCAGAAAGGCAAGCUUCGCCUCAUCUGGGACGGACGUGAAGUCAAUAAGCACCUGCACAUCCCACUAUGAGUCGCUUGUGCAGGUCCCAGGCUGGCUAGGCCCCAAGGACUACAUGUUCACCCUGGACCUGAAGUCUGGUUACCACCAUAUGGUCGUACGCGAAGCAGACUGGCGCUACCUUGGUUUUGAAUGGCAAGGCCAGUUCUACAUCUAUACACAACUCUUUUUCGGCCUUGCCUCCGCCUGUUGGGCAUUCACCAAGCUAAUACACGAGAUCACGCGGACUUGGAGACGGAAGGAAGGGCUGGCAGUGCUCAGGAUACAUCGAUGAUCAGAUCCACGCCCACCAGGACACCCAGACCCUCAUCAUCCGCCGCACCAUAAUCCUCGACCUCUUUGAGCGCCUGGGGUUCUGUGUGAACCGUGACAAGUCAAUGAUGGGCGAGCCCCAGCAGCAAGUGAGGUACCUGGGUAUGCUGUUAGAUACAUUAGGUACAUUGUGCCUGAAGAUAAGCGCACUUUCCUGCUCGGCUGCAUCCACUCGGCUCUGGGAAAACGGCGCAUCAAGGCGAGAAAUUGGCCUGCUUAAAAUGGCAGCUUCUGUCCAUGUCUUGGGUGUUCGGGCAAGUAGCCCAGGCUCUGGGGCAGGAUAUUGAGUCGCGCCACACCUGGGAUACCCACAUCCGCUUAUCUAACGACGCAACUGCAGAGCUCGAAUUCUGGCUGCGCUGUUUCGACUGGUUUAACGGAACCCGUGCCCUCUGGGAGCCCACACAGGUGCACUCGGUCGUUUUCUGUGAUGCAGCCAGGAAAUCCCUCAAGCACCUCGGGAGUUGGGGUGCCUGGACGCUGAUCGACGGGAAGUUGGCCCAAGCCCGCGGUAAUUGGGGAGAAUGUUAAGAAUAUGAAGGAGGCAAAGAGACUGGUCGCGAUGUAAGUAUUACAGUCGGUAGGUGAGUGGUGAACGGCAGGAAGACUUUAGGAAAUUCCUACUAAGGAAUACCGAUCCAUACAAAGAUGAGAUACCAAGACUUGCAUAACUUGUGUCUUAUAUACCAGUACCAAUGGAAGUAUCGUACAGUCGCCCACCAUCUAACUUGGACAUGAGGACACGUCCGAGAUACAGGGCCGCGAGACCCGAGGCAAUGUAGAGGCACGGCUGAGGCAAGGUCGAGGCACGUCCGGAUUCAUCGCCUAUCUACCACCUAUCUGCGUUGGGAUAGGACCGCCCUUCAACACGACCCCUCGGGACAUAUCCCAACUCUGGUCUGGUCUGGGUUGACACUACUGCGAUUCGCGGUUUAAGGUUCUGGGUUCGAUUCCUGGGGAGACCCCCGAAUUAGUCGGGAGCGCGAGAUUAUGGCUAGCUGCUGAGAUGUGGAGUUGAGGUCGCAGUUGAUGGACCAGAUUCGCACGCUAGAUUGGUGGCGAUUGCCGAACCCUCCGUCUCUUCGGUUGUUCGGGUGAAUGGAUGAGGAGGGGUCCUAGAUGGCUGGACCCGCCGCCUUGGACUUACAGUUCGUAUGGCGAAGUAUAGUGUGGUAGUGGUGGACGGUGCUAUAAGAUGACAAAUCGUAGAACUGACAAUGUGAUAAAGCGGCCCAGAAGCCUCCCACUCUGUAACAUUACAGAUAUCCCAACUCGCAGUAGCACAUUUGCUCCACCAAUGGGCGGCACUUCACACAACGCCCAUAGCUUCUCUGCACCGUUUGAACUUCACUUCUCCCAGUGCCUUCAUGAGCGCACCCGCUACCAUCCACUCUGUAGGGCAGUACUCCAACCCCGCUAUUCACCCUCUCACACACUAUGUGGUGCUGCACGUCGAUGUGUUUCGACCCAGCAGACGUAAUCGGAUGAUUUCCCAAGCUAAGCGCACCCUGGGAGUCUAUCUGGAUUUUCACCGCGCUCUCAGGCAAGCCCAAAUCGACCAUCAGCUUGCAAAGCCACAAAGCUUCAUGAACAGCCGCCGCUGUAGCUGGGUACUCGGCCUCCACCAACGAAGCCGCCACAGUACGUUGAAGUUGGCUGCUCCAGCUAAUCGCAGCCCCAUUAAGAGUGAAUACGUAACCGGACGUAGAACGCCGCGUAACAGGGUCUCCUGCCCAGCCCGAAUCACUGUACCCGGACAUUGCAACACCACCAACACCCCCAAAAUCCUAGUUCGUGAGUACCCGCCAGGUAACACAGAAUGCCAGUGGCCAAGUUCAUGGCAGUCUUCGUAGGUGUGGCCAUAUGCCGGGACAAAAUGCUCAAUGCAUACGAAAUGUCGGGUGUUCGAUUGUUCGUCGCCAGAUAGUUCCAUUCUCCCACCAACUCGGGGGGAUUGCCCAGCAGCUCCUCUCCGUCCCCCGUAGGAGUGUACCCCUAAAGCCCGGAGGCAAAGGGGUAGAUCUCGGCUUGGCGUCAACCAUCCUAUGACGCUCCAACAGCUGCGACAUACCUAUGCUGCGACAACACUAACUCACCCGACUUCUCCCUCCUAAUCUCCAUGCCCCAAAACACCUUCGCUUCUCCAAGGUCACGCACCUUGAAGACUUUCACAAUUGCUGCUUUAAUGGCGCGGACCAUUUCCGGGUCUUCUGAUGCAACAAUGCAACAGGCAGGCGGCUGGCAGAAGUUAAGGCCUGGCUUCUGCUCCCGUCGCGUCCCGGCGCGUCCGGGUUCAAAUCCGCCUGCCGACCUCUCGGGGUGUUUGAGAGGUGAUGAAAUGGGAGGUGGCCCCCCAUCUUGUGGACGGUGUAGGACGUGAUAAAAUCAAUUCGCGAGCUGACCAGGAAUUAAGUUGACGCGCCGUUGAUCCGCUAGAUUUGGUUGGAUGCUGGUGGUGAGUUGCCAAACUCAAAGAGUACACUCUGAAGUCGGAUGGGGUGAAUGGCUUAGGGUGCCCCUCUAGCAGGGGAGAGCAGGGAAUUGCCUCGGGAAGGAGGCCACUGGUGAAGCUUAACCACCCUGUAACAACAUCAACAAUGGUGUCAUCUACGUGCACCAAAGCAAUAACAACCCCACGCUGAUAGCUUUUCAUACCAGCAACGGGGUGCCUGCUUCAAACCGUAAAUAGACAGACCUCUGCAGCUUGCACGCAAGCGACCGGUCAAUGGAUUCAUACCCAGGCGGUUGCUCCAUCCAGGGUUGCUGCAUCCACAACUCCUCCUUCAACUUGCCGUUCAAAAAUGCAGUAGACACAUCGAGCUGAUGCACUGUCAUGUUCGGCAUCUUCAGCUCCCAAGUACUGUUAGCCAUCUGGGCGGCGAUCUCCUUGUCCAUUGCACGCCGCCAAUCGUCUGCAUGUGGACUUGCAAUGGCUUCCGCAAACGAAUUCGGUUCAGGAAUACCAGCAGAAAAAGCAGCAUUAACGCGACCAGUUACAGUGCGACCAGGCUCAUUUCGCCACCACUCGCCAGGGCGUUUACACUCUGAAUCUGGGUACCUAGUUCCCGCCAUUUCCACAUCAGGCUCACUACUUCCUUGCCCGUUCACACUGCUGGAAGGUCCAGCCCCAGCCGGCGCCCCCUCACCACCCAAAUGGGGCGAUCCCUCGCCGACAGUAUUGCCUGAUGUUCCUUCGCCACCCCUCACCAGGCAAGAUAGUGUAAACGUCAUCCUCCUCAUCGGUAUCGGACCCAUAAUCGGAGUCCCCGGCACUACGCCGCCGGCCGACAUUGGACUCAUCAAAGCAGACACUGGAGACAACAGCGAUGACGCCGUCCUCGUACAGUACGCGGUACUGUCCUCCAUUCCCGUAUCCGACUAGGAUUCCUUACCUGCUUACCGGAUCGAGUUUGUCUCACUUGACGUUGGGCACAUGAACGUAUGCAGCGCAUCCAAAAGACCUGCAGAUGGCUGACAUUCGGAUGAACACCAAAGAAGGCUUGAUGUGGUGUGACGGUUGACCCAGCAGCGACACGUUCCUGAGGUAGUUUGCAGUCGCCAACGCUUCCGCCCACAGUGAUUUUGGGAGUCCAGACUCUAUGAGCUUGAACUGGCUUUGUCUAGGAGAGUGCGGUUCAGGCGUUCUGCUGCACCGUUCUGCUCAGGAGUGUAGCCCGCAGUAGUUCCGUGCAAAAUACCCCUUGAUGUGAAGUAGUUUUUCGUGCGAGUAUUCACAAAUUCCCCGCCAUGAUCCGUGCGCACUCCUUUACCUGCCAACCAGAUGCCCGUUCCAGGUCCGCUAUCAUCACCACCACCUUCUGAUAUAUCUCCUCCUUGGUCGCCGUAAAUGCAACCGCUGACAGACCGGUGGGGUUAUCAAGAAGGGUGGUCACAUAACGCGAACCAUUUGGUUCAGGCAUGUGAAUGAGUGCAAGAGGCUGCGCUGCCUUAUGCCCAGAUAACAGAAAAGGACCCGUUGUAUGCUUUGCAAGGACGCAAGUCUCACACACACACGCGCUGGCUGAUUGUAUGCUGUGUCAGUCAAUAUCGAGCCCAGUUACCAUAUUGUGACGCAGCAACGCCUCAAGGUUGCUGUAUCUAUCACAAGUGGCCAUACCGUCGGUGCCAAAGUGCUGCACGUUCAGCUCCGAUAAUGCUGCCAUGCCGAUACCCAUGGCAGCACACACUGCACCACCACCAGAAGGCAUCCUGUUGCGUUCACGCUGCGUCUAUUUCAGAGCGCCUGUACCUCCACUGCUGUAGCAAACGGGAUAAAAGUCCCCUUCCCGCUUUCCAGUCAGCACCAACUGGUUCUGUACGUAUACAAGUUACAAGUUACAAGUGCCGCACGAGUGCGGGGGUGUCCGUCAAAGCCGGGAGGCCAUGGACUAUAUGUAUUGAAAGUUGAUUACACCAUACGACCGACGGCGGUUUGGGUCCUGCCAACUAGACCCCUCCUCAUCCAGUCACCCAACAUCCGUAGAGACAGAUCAGCCACCACCUCCAUCUCAGCAUGCGAAACUUAGUCCAUCAACUAGACCGCAUCUCCACACCUCAGCAGCGUCAACAAUGUCGGGGGUCUGACCAGGAAUCGAACCCGGAACCUUCAUAUACACGAAGGCGCCACCAGACCAGACCACGUAUAAUUUCACCUGUCCGCCGCCGAAGACCACACUGCCUCCACGAUCAUCAAUGAUGCGGACCGAUAGGAUUUUGGCGGUGGCCUCCUCAUCGAUGUAGACCUUCUUAAGUGCUGGCCUGUUUAUCGUUGACGUUAGACCGAAUCAUAAGCGUGCCAACUUCAGUCGGCCAAAGAGGCUGUCCCUUGAUGCCCAUGACGUUUAAGCGCUCCCACAGCUCCAACAACCGCACGUUGAGAAGUUCUGAGCGGUCAUACGUUAUGUGAUGAGUGGCGGCUGAGUCCAGGAACCACCCCGUCGGAUGCUCACCAUUGUAAGCUGUGAACGCAACCUGCCGCGGGAAGCCUGAUCCCCUUCCAGACCCACUGGGCCCAGGCUUGCUGCCGCUAGCUCCACUGCCACCACCACCCAUACCUUGUCCACUGCCGGAAAUGGACAACUGCUUUAGUGCCUUUAACUUCCUGCAAGUUUUUAAUAUCGUGCCCGGGUUUUUUGCAAUAGUGACAAAACAAAUGUUUGGGGGGACCGCCAGAACUGCUGCUGGCCUCGCCGUGAUUCCUAAGACCAGAACCAGAGGCGCCAAACGUGAGACCGCCGACAGAAGCAAAAGCUGCCGACUCAGUAGGCUUACUAGACCCACCGCUAGCCAAAAGCUUGGAGGUGACGCUCGCCAUGUCCAAAUCACCGUCACGCACCAGCAGGGACGUCGUUUCCAUGUUGAAGCGGCUGGGUAGACCAACCAGCACUGUGUACGCAAGCUCCGAGUCGCUGAUAACGUGCCCCACUCCCAGCAAGUCUGAUUGUAAUUGCCGCGCACGUGCUUGGGUAGCGGCUCACCGUCGACCAUCUUGAAACGGCUGAACUCUUGACGGAGAGCUACCUUGCGUGCGUUAAUGUUGGCGACAAACAUCGCGGCCAAAGCGUCCCAUGCCCUCUUCCCGUUGUGAGCGGGGGUGGUUCCUGGACUUAGCCGCCACCAAAAGCCACUGUAAUACUUACACUGCGACCAGUCUCCUUGCCUCCUUCAUAUUCUUAACAUUCUUGAUGAGCAGGUUGAUAACCUUACGAGAUUGUCGAAUCUGCUCCUCGUUUCCCGGCUCGACGAGUAGGACUUGCUCAAGCCCAAGCUCCAUACACAGCGCGCUGAACCGAAUUUGCCAGGUGGCGUAGUUGUUGAUGUUGUUACAGGGUGGUUAAGCUUCACCAGUGGCCUCCUUCCCGAGGCAGUUCCCUGCUCUCCCCUGCUAGAGGGGCACCCUAAUCCAUUCACCCCAUCCGACUUCAGUAUGUACUCUUUGAGUUUGGCAACUCACCACCGGCAUCCAACCAAAUCUAGCGGAUCAACGGCGCGUCAACUUAGUUCCUGGUCAGCUCGCAAGUUGUUAUGAGCCCCGGCUCACGCUAGCAGCAUGUACCUCUAAUACUCGUAUUCCACAAUGGGGAAGGACAAGCUUGACGAGCCUCUGGACUUGAACAACUACGCCACCUGGCAAAUUCGGUUCAGCACGCUGUGUAUGGAGCUUGGGCUUGAGCAAGUCCUACUCGUCGAGCCGGGAAACGAGGAGCAGAUUCGACAAUCUCGUAAGGUUAUCAACCUGCUCAUCAAGAAUGUUAAGAAUAUGAAGGAGGCAAGGAGACUGGUCGCGAUGUAAGUAUUACAGUCGGUAGGUGAGUGGUGAACGGCAGGAAGACUUUAGGAGAUUCCUAUGAAGGAAUACCGAUCCAUACAAAGAUGAGAUACCAAGACUGGCAUAACUUGUGUCUUAUACACCAGUACCAAUCGAAGUAUCGUACAGUCGCCCACCAUCUAACUUGGACACGAGGACACGUCCGAGAUACGCGGCCGAGAGACCCGAGGCAAUGUAGAGGCACGUCCGGAUUCAUCGCCUAUCACGGCGGAUUCAUCGCCUAUCUACCACCUAUCUACGUUGGGAUAGGACCGCCCUUCAACAGAGAAAGGGUCAGUUCGAUGGGGUCAACGCCCCAGGAGCUCCAGGCAGUCCUACACGCACUUCAAUCCUUCAACGGUCCUGCAGGCCUACGACACCAAGUCGUCCGGGUGAAUACUGACAAUCUCAAUUGCGCCAACGUCCUCAACAAAGGGUCCGCAAAAGCCGAGGACUCGUACCGGAUUGCCUGCGAAAUGUUUUGGUACUGUAUUGCCGAGGGUAUCACACUGCAGGCGGAGUGGCGGCCGCGAGAAGAAAACACUCUGGCGGACUACCUCUCAAAGCUGCAGGACCGGGACGACUGGAUGGUGAACCGUAAGGAAAUUCAGAGGCUCAACACCGCCUGGGGUCCCUUUGACAUUGAUCUUUUCGCGUCACACACCAGCUGCCACAAUACUAUUCCCGCUUCUUCACGCCAGAUACCGCGGGUGUAGAUGCCUUUCGGUUCCACUGGGGACGGAAUUGCUGGGCGAACCCGCCUUUCUGUUGUUGAUGUUGUUACAGGGUGGUUAAGCUUCACCAGUGGCCUCCUUCCCGAGGCAAUUCCCUGCUCUCCCCUGCUAGAGGGGCACCCUAAGCCAUUCACCCCAUCCGACUUCAGAGUGUACUCUUUGAGUUUGGCAACUCACCACCAGCAUCCAACCAAAUCUAGCGGAUCAACGGCGCCUCAACUUAGUUCCUGGUCAGCUCGCGAGUUGAUUUUAUCACGUCCUACACCGUCCAUAAGAUGGGGAGCCUCCUCCCAUUUCACCACCUCUCAAACACCCGAGAGGUCGGCAGGCGGAUUUGAACCCGGGUAGACCGGGAGCAGAAGUCAGGCCUUAACUUCUGCCAGCCGCCUGCUUUCUGUUUGCUACUUAAGGUCCUGCGGCCGCCUGCUUUCUGUUUGCUACUUAAGGUCCUGCGGCACGCAGAGCUGUGCAAAGCACACAUCUGUCUUAUCGUUCCCCUCUUUUUGCCAGGGUCUUCGGGAAACGAGGUCCCAAAAGGGUCCGCUAACUGGCUAUCGCUCGCACUUCUCAUCGAUUUCCAAACCCAUUCCCCGCGCCGGAUCGCUGUGCCCCCCGACCCCUAUGCCCCCCGGUUUUCACAGGAGUAAGGGCACGCGUGCAGACACUGCUGGGCCAGGUGCCCGUGGACGCCAACCCAAUGAUCCUUUCCAAGUUACGUUAUCGCAUAAGCACCGCCUGCUGGGGGGCAUACUGGGGCACUCGCCCGUAGGUUAUGCGCACCUCCGUUCAUCUAUUGACUAAAGGGUUCGCAGCAGCCGAAGCGACGGGGGAGUGGACCGUGCACGCGAUUGAGGCACUCCCACACAUUCGGAGCAACGGGAAGACGACGUUUACAGCCAAUUUCUGCCUACACUAUUGGAGCUUAUUAUUGUUGCUCUCACUUCCCCCCCCCCCGCCCUCAGUGUCCCUCGUUUGUAAGCGGCAGGCCCGGCCCAGUUGGAGACCUGGUGGUGAUUAGGCAGUCCCCUCGGAGCGCCAGACGCACAGCUGUACUGUUGAGGAAACGGUCCUCACCCAACUCGUAUGGUUGUCGACCAGGGGAUCUGACCCCGGGUCUGCGCCUGACUAAUGGGGAAGACUUACCCCAGAACCUUAUGGGGCUACCGAUGCAUAUCCGGUAGCUAAGUGAUAGACAUUAGGGCACCGUCUGGACGGCGCAGUGAGAUCACGGAAUGUACGUGCAGUUAGAUCGCGGAAUGUACGAGUUUUCCGCUAGCGCCGGUAUUUAGGGCGGUGACUGCGCCUAUUAGUUUAUCUCACAACGAUCGGUAUUCCUACCAGGAAUCUCCUCAAGUCCUGCCGAACGCUAACAAUACUCUUUACAUUACUUGUAACAAGUUUAUCGUGCUAAAUAUCUUCGCCACCGGCAAUCCUUCCGGAAUAACAAUCAGCGUUAGCCGUCACCGUCGCCAAUUCUUCAAUAUGUACAGCGAUAACCGCAGGGCAAAUAAGUGCCUUUAGAGUAUCGUUGCGCGCUAGGAAUGUCGCCUGGUCAGCACCGCUGGCCAGGUUGUGGUUCGUGCGUCGCUGACGCUUCAGGUUUGCCCUCGGGGCGGGUGACCAGUGGACGCAGUUAUUAAUGCUGCAUUUAGUUGUCUUGUGCUGUGUGUCAGUUUUUUCGGCCGUGCGGUGUGGCCGCGCUAGACAGUGCGCUCAGACCGCGCCGAGUGGCGCUAGACCGCACUUCGGCACACAUGUGCGCCCUGGCGCUCCGAGAGUACUGCAGUACUGCAGUAGUGUAAGGCCCAUAGGGUUUGGCACUACUGGUAAGGCGCGACCAUUGCCCCCAGGAGAUCCCGGGAUCGAUACCCGGGUCACAGGUCCUUCCAACGGUGGGAGGCAUUGCGCCCCUAGUUGAUGGACGGUGGUGACCUGGGAUAAAGUUAACCGAGCCGACCAGGAAUGGAAUUGGGCCGCUGUCGACCCGGCAUAUUCCGUUGGAAGCUGGUGGUGGGUGCGUAACCUGAGCGAUCCACUGAGAAGUUGACUAGGGUGACUGGAUGAGGGUGCCCGAAAUGCCGGGGAAGGCAGGGUUUCGCAGGGUGGCUGCCACGGGCGAAGAUACCCCCCUGUUUCACACAUCUUUCAUAGGGCGGUAUUCCUCAACGGAAUCUCUUAAAAGUCCUGCCGAUCGUUACUCUGAUAAGUCCAAACUCUUCGCCGGCAUUCCCGUUUCGAAGUAACAGUCAGCCUCUGCCGCCGCCGUCGAUUCAUCAAGGGCAUCGAUGACACGUCCCUGGAGCUCGUAAGACUCCAGAAAGUGACAGAAAGAGCGUCUCGUGGUCCAGGGCAAAGGCCUCGCUGAAGUCAAUCUGCAUGAC